UACGGAGGGUGCAAGCGUUGCUCGGAAUUAUUGGGCGUAAAGGGUAGGUAGGUGGUCUCAUUUGUCUGGGGUGAAAGCCUUGAGCUUAACUCAAGAAGUGCCCCAGAAACGGUGAGACUAGAGUCCUGGAGAGGGUCGUGGAAUUCCCGGUGUAGCGGUGAAAUGCGUAGAUAUCUGGAGGAACACCGGUGGCGAAGGCGGCAUCCUGGACCGGCAUUGACGCUGAGGCGCGAAAGCCAGGGGAGCAAACGGG
rnacentral:rRNA from 1 species